rnacentral:rRNA from 1 species
UACGAGUGCCCCGAGCGUUAUCCGGAAUCAUUGGGCGUAAAGGGUGUGUAGGCGGUUGUAUUAGUCUUUUGUUAAAGCUCCCGGCUUAACCGGGAAAGUGCAAUUGAUACGGUACAACUAGAGGAUGCGAGAGGUGAACGGAACUCAUAGUGUAGGGGUGAAAUCCGUUGAUAUUAUGGGGAACACCAAAAGCGAAGGCAGUUCACUGGCGCAUUCCUGACGCUGAGACACGAAAGCGUGGGUAGCGAAUGGG